rnacentral:rRNA from 1 species
GAUGAACGCUGGCGGCGUGCCUAAUACAUGCAAGUCGAGCGAACAGACGAGGAGCUUGCUCCUCUGACGUUAGCGGCGGACGGGUGAGUAACACGUGGAUAACCUACCUAUAAGACUGGGAUAACUUCGGGAAACCGGAGCUAAUACCGGAUAAUAUAUUGAACCGCAUGGUUCAAUAGUGAAAGACGGUUUUGCUGUCACUUAUAGAUGGAUCCGCGCCGCAUUAGCUAGUUGGUAAGGUAACGGCUUACCAAGGCAACGAUGCGUAGCCGACCUGAGAGGGGGAGCGGCCAAACGGGAAAUGAGACACGGUCAAGACCCCUACGGGAGGCAGAAGAAGGGAAUAUUGGACAAGGGGGGAAAGCGGGAGGGAGCAAGGCCGCGGGGGUAAAGAAGGUCUUCGGAUCGAAAAACUCUUUUAUUAGGGAAAAAAAAAUGUGAAAGAAAAUAUGCCGGUUUUGACGUUACCAAAAAAAAAAGCAACGGCUAACUCCGGG